UGGGGCUCGAAUUCAUGACCCCAAGAUCAAGAGUCACACGUUCUACCUAAUGAAGCAGCCCAGUGCCCCUCCUGGGAUGAUUCUUAUGCCCCA